AUCUGGGCGACGAAAUUCAGAAUGACUGGUCGGCCUCGUUGCAUGUCGGUCGUUUGAUAUUUUCGUUGCCGUGUCAGACGUCGCGAUCUGUUUGUUGUCGGUCCUUGCUCGGAGGAGUUGCGAUCGAGUUUGUUGUGGACGCGUUUCUGGCGUGUCAUACGGCAAAGACGCGAAUCUCUGGCCGACAACGGACAGUAAGCAGUGGUAGCCGACGCUGUGUUACGGCACGGUGUUGGUACCGAUCAGCGACGAUUUCUUCGGGCCUCUUUCCGACCCGUCUUGAAACACGGACCAAGGAGUCUAACAUGCGCGCGAGUCGCGGGGUAUCGAGCGUACUACGGUGCGUUCGGUCUUCAUGAAACCCGUAUGUUGAAGGCGUAAUGAAAGUGAACAGGGAAGAUGGUGUUCCGAGUAUACGUACCGUGAAAUUUCGCGGCCGGACACCCGCAUUCCCGGGGCGUCUUAAUGGUUCAUCGCGGAUGCGGAUUGUCGUCUCUCGGGGCGGCAGUCGGUCUGCGAUGGUCCGA
rnacentral:rRNA from 1 species